UGAUGAUUCUGCAAAUUUGAAACUUCUAACCUUUCUUCGACUUUGCGGAGCGGAGAGGACUUAGCAUUCACUUCGCAGCGGGUUGCUGCCAUCAUUGCGCCGCUAUUUCGGACACCACAGCCGCCGAGUGUUGCCGUUUGAGCUGUGGCAGCCCGAUCGUCGGCCUCCUCUUGGGGCAGUACCCACGGUUCGGUGACAUACCUCGGGGUGGGUGAGUAUGCCGGCUCCUCCCACAGCUGCUGCUCCUCCUCUUCGGACCGUCGCAAGCGGGCCUGCCACUCAGGGUCCUCCUCUAUUUCUCUCAACCGCUUCUCCUCCGUCUUCCGCAGCGCUUCCAAGUUCAGCGGGAACUCCAGCGUGGCUGCCGCUACCCGCUCGUCCUGGCUGCGGGGAGUUCGUCCCCCGCAUGUGGCUCCUGGCUGACCCACUCGACCCUUGCUGUGCCGGUCUGGAUACGGCCGUCUGCGCCGCUGGUGGCCUUCCGAAGCCGCCACCUUCUCUG